rnacentral:tRNA from 3 species
UGUUCAAUGGUGUAAUGGCAGCACAACAGAUUCUGGUCCUGUUAGUCCAGGUUCGAGUCCUGGUUGAACAACAA